AAGACGGAGAGGGCGCAGUGGUCCCGCGACCAUCAAACCAACAACACCGUCCUGCCGCCGCCGUCGCCGUCAUCGUUGUUCGGCGAAAACGACCCCUUCUACUACUCUUCCUCCUCUUUUCUUCUUCUCUUCUCUUCGCCGUCGCUCUUCUUCUCAAGCCGACGCGGCGACAAACGUCCUUGUCCUUGUCGUUGUCAUCGUCAUCGUCAUCUUCAUCGUCAUCGACUUGCCUAUCUCGUGACGCAACGUUAUUCUGCCAUCGUGAUCCUGCGGAAAAAAUCUUUGGAUGGAUGGAUGGAUGGAUGGAUCCUCACACGAUCCUGUCACCGCCAUUACAAGCAGAAUCGCGCUGUACCCAGAGAAGCAAGAGCCAGAGAGAAAGAAAGAGAGAGAGAGAAGAGAGAUUGGGGGACAAAGAAGAGGAAGCGAGUGAGCGCCAGAGCUCAUUCAAGAAGGGGCGACAUAUGGUUUGUGAAUUUCGAUAAAAGCGCACUGCGCGCAUCAAUUCACCAUAUGUCGUGAACGAAGCUGAAACUAUUGCGAUCCGGAAAAUUAUUCAUCUGGGAAUGGCAGCGCCCUUUUACGUGAUUAUACUCUUUGCUUCGAGGAACGUCCCAUGAUAUAUUCCAAAAGAGAGACUAGAUGAAAGAAAUCUUUUUGCGUCUAAUAACAAUAUUAAUUCUUGCACGCGCGCAUCAAGAGAAAUAAUGAGAAAUAAUUAUGUAAAAUUUAUUCGAAAUAAAAAUUAUAUAUUGAGAAAAACAUAGAGUGUCUUUGCAUUGUUAAAAUUAAUGAUGGGUUUAUUGACGUUUGAGAGAUGCUUUGGAUCUUUGAGAUCCUCGAAUCUCGCAGAAUCAUAAACGCGAUUCCUCUCUUUCACGCGAUCUUUCUCGCGCGCGAUUUUCGUGACACCCGGUAGGCAAGGUGUUCCCCCUAUUCCGCGUAAGUACAUUAUGGUGUGUACUGUUGUUUUAUCAGUAGUGCAGGAUCGCCAUGGCUACGAAGUAUGAAUAAGCCGUAGCCGACACACGUCGCCGCUGCUGCUACCUUGUGCCUAAUUACCAUUUUCGUAAUUUUCUGUCACGAAACUGACUCCGGCGAGCCGGUCCUCGCGAUCGCGAUUCCUCGCGCGUCGAUUCUUCGCUCUCCAGGCUCUCCAACUUCCGCCCUAAGCCUCUUCGACGAACAGGUUCGUCUCUGUGAUCUUCUCAAUUUAUAUAUCUCUCCGAUAUAAUUUAAUUAUAAUCAAUAUUAUAACAAAAAAUAUUCUAAUUACCUUAAAUAAUUAUCAAUUCAUUUAUUUUUUUUUCACACGGAAACUCAUCAAUCCUUCCGAUUUAUAUCAUAAUUUUAUUUUCUUAUUUUUAAGAGAGAGUAGAUUUUGUCGACACUAUUUUUUAAUUUCACUAUUGCUUUAUUUUUUGAGUUUACAUAUAAAUAUGUAAUUAUCUGAAAUAUAAUAAAUGUAUAGAACUCUAAAAAGGAACCCAAGUUUGCCUCGCGGAAAUAUAUUUUUGCGCGCGAACGUUUGUAAGAGCUGACGGCCGGUUUUAUUUCCGCCGAGACGACGCUUAUCGAUAAACGUUUAAUCGAUCCUUAGGAAAGCAGGAUUCCGUUGUCCUCGCGAAGCGGAGACGCGACUAAUUGCACGGCGGAACAGUUUCGACGGUUGAAGCUACGCUUUCCGCGCGGCAACUUAUCGAACUGUCAAUAUGUGAUCAGCUGACGCGCUCGAUCGAGGUUCUCGCAAGCGGAUUCCUAUUUAUAGCGUUUUGCACGCGUCGCGAACACAUUAUCGUGCCAUAAUCGACGCAACGGUUGACGCAAUGUCUCUCCAUCCGCCAUAUCGUUGUAUGUAUCACGAGGAUAUUUGAAAAAAAAAAAAAAA